UCGCCCGCAGUGAGCCGGGCCUCUCCAGGUACAAGCUGCGGCCUGGGACACCUUCGCGGCCGUUGUCCGAAGCGCCCCCUUUGCAAACACCCACAAAAGGGAGACUAAUGAUUUUAUUUCUUGAGGGGCCCGGUUCCCCUGUCUAUGGAAGAUGCCAGAAGCUCGCAGGGCACGUCCCGGCCGCCAGCAGGAGCGAGGCCCCCACUCCACCCUGUGGACGGACCCCAGCCCCCGGCGCUCAGGGAGGGAACCACAGGAGGCCCCACAGGGCGUGAGUCCACGGGAGCACAAGUGUGGGUAAACGGAAAAGAACCAGCUGGCCCUGUGACCUCCCGGCGAGCGCUGUGGCUCUGUCCUUUUGCAAUUUGUCACAAAUCGGUGGCGUCCACAUUUUACUUUUGGAAUUGAUGAGACACAGCUAGAGAGAGAGAGGCAGAGACACAGGCAGAGGGAGAAGCAGGCUCCACG